AAUCAACGCUGGCGGCGUGCCUCAGACAUGCAAGUCGAACGGUUAAAGCUCUCUUCGGAGAGUGCAUAGAGUGGCGCACGGGUGAGUAACACGUAAGUAAUCUACCCUCGAGUGGGGAAUAACGUCCGGAAACGGACGCUAAUACCGCAUAAUGCAGCGGCACCGCAAGGUGACAGUUGUUAAAGGAGAAAUUCGCUUGAGGAGGAGCUUGCGGCAGAUUAGCUUGCUGGUAAGGUAACGGCUUACCAAGGCUACGAUCUGUAACCGGUCUUAGAGGACGGUCGGUCACACUGACACUGAAUAACGGGUCAGACUCCUACGGGAGGCAGCAGUCGGGAAUUUUGGGCAAUGGGCGAAAGACCUGACCCAGCAACGCCGCGUGAAGGAUGAAGUAUUUCGGUAUGUAAACUUCGAAAGAAUAGGAAGAAUAAAUGACGGUACUAUUUAUAAGGUCC
rnacentral:rRNA from 1 species